rnacentral:tRNA from 1 species
GAAUAGCUCAGUUGGUAGAGCAACGGUCUUGUAAACCGUAGGUCGUCAGUUCGACUCUGACUU